rnacentral:rRNA from 1 species
AUUGAACGCUGGCGGAAUGCUUUGCACAUGCAAGUCGAGCGGCAGCACGGGGGCAACCCUGGUGGCGAGCGGCGAACGGGUGAGUAACACAUCGGAACAUGCCCAGUCGUGGGGGAUAACACUUCGAAAGAAGUGCUAAUACCGCAUACGUCCUGAGGGAGAAAGCGGGGGAUCGCAAGACCUCGCGCGAUUGGAGUGGCCGAUGUCAGAUUAGCUAGUUGGUGGGGUAAAGGCCUACCAAGGCAACGAUCUGUAGCUGGUCUGAGAGGAUGAUCAGCCACACUGGGACUGAGACACGGCCCAGACUCCUACGGGAGGCAGCAGUGGGGAAUUUUGGACAAUGGGGGCAACCCUGAUCCAGCCAUUCCGCGUGAGUGAAGAAGGCCUUCGGGUUGUAAAGCUCUUUCGGCAGGAACGAAACGGUGAGCCCUAACAUAGCUUGCUAAUGACGGUACCUGAAGAAGAAGCACCGGCUAACUACGUG